GGGCAAAGGCUGUGGCUCAGUCGUAGAACAUCUGCUUUGCAUGCAGAAGGUCCCAGGUUCAAUCCCUGGCACCUCCA